rnacentral:tRNA from 1 species
GCCGUCUUAGCUCAGUUUGGUAGAGCACUUGACUUGUAAUCAUGAGGUCUCCGGUUCGAUUCCGGAAGACGGCU